UCUGCCCCAGAGGUGUUGCAGGCAUGGCUGCUGUGUCACAUGUGUGUCAGUAGGUGGCAUAGAGGAGAGAGGCUGUGUCCACACUCAGUGUUCUGAACUCUGAACGUCCAAUGAUUAGUAGCCUAACACC